ACGCUCGACACCUACGGGAGGCAGCAGUGGGAAUAUUGCACAAUGGGGGAAACCCUGAUGCAGCGACGCCGCGUGGAGGAAGAAGGUCUUCGGAUUGUAAACUCCUGUUGUUGGGGAAAAAGNGGAUGGUACCCAACAAGGAAGUGACGGCUAACUACGUGCCACAGCCGCGGUAAUCUGAGCGGGCUGGCAAGGC
rnacentral:rRNA from 1 species